CAUCUGCCCAAGGCGCGUGUGUCGCGUUUUUCUUUUUAUUUCCCGAUAUUUCGCAAAAUUUAAUUUCCUAUUUUAUUUUCUACCGCCUACCUACACUUAUGUUCCGUUCGCUCCGUUCUCCUCGCAUUAAAUUCUGUUUUUUUCCAAAAUUUUUCAUUUUGUUUUAUUUAUUUUUUCUCAGUUUUUUCUUAUUAUUUCGUUUCUUGUGGUCGGUGCGAAGCUGUUCACCAAAGAAGCUGACCGCACGAGAUGCAAGCUAGAUUUAUGACAGAAAUGACAUCAAUGAAUCAAGAACUGCAAUGGAGGAACCAUUAUUGUACUCGGCUGUUUGGUUCGUAAUUUUUCGCGUUUGGAGUGAUUUUUGUAUUGUAUAGAGUCGUGUUGUAGUUCUGUUGUUGUAUUUUUGUAUAGAUUAUAAGUUAUUUUAAGUGUUAAUGUCUUCAAAUUAAGAUAAAUAAUGUAUUUACUGAUAUUAAUGUUAAAACUAGAUCAAAACUUAAAUAAUCCGGUUCUAAUACACAUAAUAUGUUUGUAUAUAUGUAUAAUUUUACUAUAUAGUGUAUAAAAUUACUUACUUCAUAACAUCUACAGGUAGCAAGCACAGACAACCACCAAUUUCUGCAUUUUACACUGUGACAAACUCGCAACUUGCUCACACUUAGGA